rnacentral:rRNA from 1 species
AGUGAACGCUGGCGGUAGGCCUAACACAUGCAAGUCGAACGGCAGCACAGUAAGAGCUUGCUCUUACGGGUGGCGAGUGGCGGACGGGUUAGGAAUACAUCGGAAUCUACUUUUUCGUGGGGGAUAACGUAGGGAAACUUACGCUAAUACCGCAUACGACCUACGGGUGAAAGCAGGGGAUCUUCGGACCUUGCGCGAUUGAAUGAGCCGAUGUCGGAUUAGCUAGUUGGCGGGGUAAAGGCCCACCAAGGCGACGAUCCGUAGCUGGUCUGAGAGGAUGAACAGCCACACUGGAAGUGAGACACGGUCCAGACUCCUACGGGAGGCAGCAGUGGGGAAUAUUGGACAAUGGGGGCGAGCCUGAUCCAGCCAUACCGCGUGAGUGAAGAAGGCCUUCGGGUUGUAAAGCCCUGUUGUUGGGAAAGAAGAGCAGCAGGUUAAUACCCCGCUGUUCUGACGGUACCCAAAGAAUAAGCACCGGCUAACUUCGUG